CUGCAGCUUUGUGCGGGAGAACAGCGAGAGAACAGCUCUAGACCGAAGCGUUAUGGCUCAGUUUGACUGCGGAGAUGACGACAGCCGCUGUUUGAGCAGUAGCAUUAUCACUAAUCUACACUCCUGUUCUGAAAACAGUCGCUCAGUGAGUAAUUGUAGGGGAAGCCCAGAUGGUGGCCAGGUGGAGGUUUGCAGAGACAUGUCUUCAGCUCUCAGAUCAGCGGCCUUAAUGCGCACAUUGAAUCUGAAAAAAAUACACGCACCUGUGCUGUUCUCAGUACCGAGACCCGAGGAGAAUCCAACUCUGUCUCUAUUAGAUAAUCAGGAUACAAGUCCAGAAGGGGCAGCAGAUCUAGCUGAGGAGGAAGUGUUCAGUGUAUCAUUCCAGUCAAAGUACAUUGAUUUUU